UUGGAGGGCAAGUCUGGUGCCAGCAGCCGCGGUAAUUCCAGCUCCAAUAGCGUAUAUUAAAGUUGUUGCAGUUAAAAAGCUCGUAGUUGAAUUUCGGGAUCAAUAUAUUGGUCAUGCUUAGGUAUGUACUGGUAUUAUUGAUUUCUCCCUUCUGAAGAACCAUGAUGUCAUUAAUUUGAUGUCGUGGGGAAUCAGGACUGUUACUUUGAAAAAAUUAGAGUGUUUAAAGCAGGCUUUCGCUUGAAUACACUAGCAUGGAAUAAUGAAAUAGGACGUUUGAUUCUAUUUUGUUGGUUUCUAGGAUCGACGUAAUGAUUAAUAGGGAUAGUUGGGGGCAUUAGUAUUCAAUUGUCAGAGGUGAAAUUCUUGGAUUUAUUGAAGACUAACUACUGCGAAAGCAUUUGCCAAGGAUGUUUUCAUUAAUCAAGAACGAAAGUUAGGGGAUCGAAGACGAUCAGAUACCGUCGUAGUCUUAACCAUAAACUAUGCCGACUAGGGAUCGGAUGAUGUUAAUUUUUUAAUGACUCAUUCGGCGCCUUACGGGAAAC
rnacentral:rRNA from 1 species